rnacentral:misc_RNA from 1 species
CAAAGACAAAUUAAUCCCAACGUUGAUUGACAGAAUGUUAAGAGGAACAAACUUCCCAAUCUCAAAUUGAUUUUGCAAGUACUCAAGUCAAUGGUUGGUUAAUUCUCAGAACAAUAAAAACAGAAAAUAUUCCUGCAUUUCAUUAGGAAAUUCCAACGGCCAGAGGAUAACACUUUGGAAUCCAAAACCUAAUUCUCGAAGAACCUGCAUAUAUUCUGAUCAUGCAAAAGCACCAAAUUUGGUUCUUCCAAGGACAGGCAA